GCCAAGAUCGUCUUUGACCUGGCUAAGGGAACGACUUUGUGGCAAACGAAGUCGUAACAAGGUCGCCGUAAAGGGGAUAACUUUUGGAAACGGAUGCUAAUACCGCAGAACAAUUUGAAUCGGGGAUUCAAAUUUGAAAUGUGGCUUCGGCGAUCACCUUGGGAUGGACCUGCGGCGCAGUAGCUUGUUGGUAGGGUAACGGCCUACCAAGGCUGUGAUGCGUAGCCAAGUUGAAAGACUGAUCGGCCACAAUGGAACUGAGCCAGGGUCAACACUCCUACGGGAGGCAGCAGUAGGGAAUCUUCCACAAUGGGCGCAAGCCUGAUGGAGCAACACCGCGUGAGUGAAGAAGGGUUUCGGCUCGUAAAGCUCUGUUGUUAGAGAAGAACGUGCGUGAGAGCAACUGUUCACGCAGUGACGGUAUCUAACCAGAAAGUCACGGCUAACUACGUGCCAGCAGCCGCGGUAAUACGUAGGUGGCAAGCGUUAUCCGGAUUUAUUGGGCGUAAAGCGAGCGCAGGCGGUUUGAUAAGUCUGAUGUGAAAGCCCUUGGCUUAACCAAAGAAGCUGCAUCGGAAACUGUCACACUUGAGUGCAGAAGAGGACAGUGGAACUCCAUGUGUAGCGGUGGAAUGCGUAGAUAUAUGGAAGAACGACCAGUGGCGAAAGCGGCUGUCUGGUCUGCAACUGACGCUGAGGCUCGAAAGCAUGGGUAGCGAACAGGAUUACAUACCCCUGGCAGUCCAUGCCGUAAACGAUGAGUGCUACGUGUUGGAGGGUUUCCGCCCUUCAGUGCCGCACCUAACGCAUUAAACACUCCGCCUGGGGAGUACGACCGCAAGGUUGAAACUCAAAGGAAUUGACGGGGGCCCGCACAAGCGGUGGAGCAUGUGGUUUAAUUCGAAGCUACGCGAAGAACCUUACCAGGUCUUGACAUCUUGCGCCAACCCUAGAGAUAGGGCGUUUCCUUCGGGAACGCAAUGACAGGUGGUGCAUGGUUGUCGUCAGCUCGUGUCGUGAGAUGUUGGGUUAAGUCCCGCAACGAGCGCAACCCUUGUUACUAGUUGCCAGCAUUCAGUUGGGCACUCUAGUGAGACUGCCGGUGACAAACCGGAGGAAGGUGGGGACGACGUCAGAUCAUCAUGCCCCUUAUGACCUGGGCUUCACACGUGCUACAAUGGACGGUACAACGAGUCGCGAACUCGCGAGGGCAAGCUAAUCUCUUAAAACCGUUCUCAGUUCGGACUGCUGGCUGCAACUCGCCUGCACGAAGUCGGAAUAGCGAGUAAUCCUGAGAGUUCGAUCCGGGCUCAGGAUGUUUGCUGAACAAUAUGAAGGCCAC
rnacentral:rRNA from 2 species